rnacentral:rRNA from 1 species
ACGGGUGAGUAACGCGUGGGAAUCUACCGUGCCCUGCGGAAUAGCUCCGGGAAACUGGAAUUAAUACCGCAUACGCCCUACGGGGGAAAGAUUUAUCGGGGUAUGAUGAGCCCGCGUUGGAUUAGCUAGUUGGUGGGGUAAAGGCCUACCAAGGCGACGAUCCAUAGCUGGUCUGAGAGGAUGAUCAGCCACAUUGGGACUGAGACACGGCCCAAACUCCUACGGGAGGCAGCAGUGGGGAAUAUUGGACAAUGGGCGCAAACCUGAUCCAGCCAUGCCGCGUGAGUGAUGAAGGCCUUAGGGUUGUAAAGCUCUUUCACCGGAGAAGAUAAUGACGGUAUCCGGAGAAGAAGCCCCGGCUAACUUCGUGCCAGCAGCCGCGGUAAUACGAAGGGGGCUAGCGUUGUUCGGAAUUACUGGGCGUAAAGCGCACGUAGGCGGAUAUUUAAGUCAGGGGUGAAAUCCCAGAGCUCAACUCUGGAACUGCCUUUGAUACUGGGUAUCUUGAGUAUGGAAGAGGUAAGUGGAAUUCCGAGUGUAGAGGUGAAAUUCGUAGA